rnacentral:misc_RNA from 1 species
GUGGCUUUGGGAUUGAGUAUGACCUCCAUUUAUCAUAGUUUGUAAUACAGUUUUACAUUGCAUCUUCUUGGCUUCCAACCUUUGUAGGGUUUUUGAACAGCUCUCGCAUUCCCAAGCAUUGUCAUUAGAAAGAAGCUCCGGCUUUAUAAAAUGAGCCAAAAAACUCUCAACAGACGCUGGAGAAUCACUAUUACCAACUUCGUCUGGAUCAGACUCAC